rnacentral:lncRNA from 1 species
UUUUAAUGCUUGGAGAAGAAAUAGUAUAGCGAGACAUUAGAAGAGAGGUGAAAGCUCCUAGUUAAGUUUCGAGGUGAAAAUAUGAAAGAGGAACGAGAACAUUAAUAUAACUCCAGAUCAUACAAUCACUCUGCAAAUAAUUUCUUUGGUUGGUAACAAAAUACCAAAAACAUUUCCAGUUCAGGAAAGAAAAACCAUAAUCAGACUACACUAUAAAGAAUUAAUUCAUUAGUAUCAAUCCCGGAACCAAGUGGCUUGCGGAGAAACCAACCCCCCGCCGCCGACAAAUCUCCGCCAGCGCCACCGCCGGAGAUGCCACAAAAUUGGUGGCCAAACAGGUGGAGAUGGUGGUCGUCGUGGUGGUGGUCUUCUUCAUCGUGCCUGCUUGGAGGAUGAUAGUACAUCCUCGAUGUUUGAGGGCAGUGGGAGUUGAAUCUGGCUGCCAUUCAUUCCAGCGUCUAAAAGCUCUAUGUAUUUCCCCAUCUCUCAAUUUCUUCCCAAAAUUCUCUGGGAGAAAAAUGAAAGAGAAAAGAAAAUCUGCUAAAAAUUAUCCCAAACGUCAGAGCCCAUUAAAAAUGGAGGAGGA